rnacentral:rRNA from 1 species
UACGUAGGGUGCGAGCGUUGUCCGGAAUUACUGGGCGUAAAGCGCGUGUAGGCGGCUUUGCAAGUCGGGCGUGAAAUCCCACGGCUCAACCGUGGAAGUGCACUCGAAACUGCAGAGCUAGAGUCCUGGAGAGGAAGGUGGAAUGCUUGGUGUAGAGGUGAAAUUCGUAGAUAUCAAGCGGAACACCGGUGGCGAAGGCGGACUUCUGGACAAUGACUGACGAUGAGACGCGAAAGCGUGGGGAGCAAACAGG